rnacentral:tRNA from 1 species
UUUUUUAUAGCUUAAUAAUAAAGCCUUAAAUUUUUAAUUUAAAGAAGGUAUAUAAGACCUA